rnacentral:rRNA from 1 species
GAUGAACGCUGGCGGCGUGCCUAAUACAUGCAAGUCGAGCGAACAGACGAGGAGCUUGCUCCUCUGACGUUAGCGGCGGACGGGUGAGUAACACGUGGAUAACCUACCUAUAAGACUGGGAUAACUUCGGGAAACCGGAGCUAAUACCGGAUAAUAUAUUGAACCGCAUGGUUCAAUAGUGAAGGACGGUUUUGCUGUCACUUAUAGAUGGAUCCGCGCCGCAUUAGCUAGUUGGUAAGGUAACGGCUUACCAAGGCGACGAUGCGUAGCCGACCUGAGAGGGUGAUCGGCCACACUGGAACUGAGACACGGUCCAGACUCCUACGGGAGGCAGCAGUAGGGAAUCUUCCGCAAUGGGCGAAAGCUUGACGGAGCAACGCCGCGUGAGUGAUGAAGGUCUUCGGAUCGUAAAACUCUGUUAUUAGGGAAGAACAAAUGUGGAAGUAACUAUGCACGUCUUGACGGUACCUAAUCAGAAAGCCACGGCUAACUACGUG